CGAGCGAUUUGAUUGGAGAACUAUAAUACGCAUAAUUAUUCACUACCGACACUCGAGGUGCGUGUUUCAUCUUGUUUUCGCCGGGGAAGAAAGCUUUUCAGCCACUGUUUCCACAGUAUUUAGGAAGACAAGAACAUAACGUAACGAAGAAACGACCAAGCAAUGCGCGCUUAAGGAUAAGGAUCAUUGACCAAAAAGAUGUAUAAGAUUGAUGUUAUCGGGAAAGAUGUUGGUUUCUUCCACACGAUCAUUAACUCGAACCUUUUUUUUUUGUUUUAUCACUGAUAAAUACAAUAACCUGUUAUUAAAACUCUAGGUUAAUAACCAUGAAGCGAGAAGUAGAGGAGAUAUAUGCCGAACACAUAGGAAGGUUGCAUAGAGGCUCAAAUUUGAAUCGAACCUGCUAUUUUCAUUCCCUCUAUAUGUGAAUGAGUGGCUCAGAGUCUGUGACAUCCAGGAAAACUAAACCCAAAUUCCUCUGUAGUCGUUGUGAUUGUUAUCACGCACAUGCGUGCAAGAUUCCCUAUAAGGCAAGAUACUGGCAUCGACACGAUGGGCAAGAUACUGGCAUCGACACGA